GGAUAACUAGCCGAAAGGUUAGCUAAUACCGCAUACGAUCGUCGAGCGGCAUCGCUUGACGAUGAAAGGAGCAAUCCGCAGAGAGACGGGACCGCGUCCAUUAGCUAGUUGGUGGGGUAAAGGCCUACCAAGGCGACGAUGGGUAGCUGGCUUGAGAGAGCGACCAGCCACACUGGGACUGAGACACGGUCCGGACUC
rnacentral:rRNA from 1 species